rnacentral:tRNA from 1 species
GUAGCUUAUACAUAAAGCACCUGGCCUACACCCAGAAGAUUCCACUAAAAAUGGCCACUUUGA